rnacentral:rRNA from 1 species
CCCAUAACAGGGGAUAACCCGGAGAAAUCCGGACUAAUACCGCAUAAGACCACGAUAUCGCAUGAUAUAGAGGUCAAAUAUUUAUAGGUUAUGGACGGGCAUGCGUCUGAUUAGCUGGUUGGCGGGGUAACGGCCCACCAAGGGCAUCGAUCACGUAGGGGUUCCUGAGAGGAAGGUCCCCCACAUUGGAACUGAGACACGGUCCAAACUCCUACGGGAGGCAGCAGUGAGGAAUAUUGGUCAAUGGGCGAAAGCCUGAACCAGCCAUGUCGCGUGAAGGAAUGAAGGUCCUAUGGAUUGUAAACUUCUUUUGCAGGAGGGUAAAGUGAGCUACGUGUAGUUCAUUGCAAGUACCCUGCGAAUAAGCAUCGGCUAACUCCGUGCCAGCCGCUGC